rnacentral:rRNA from 1 species
UACGGAGGGAGCUAGCGUUGUUCGGAAUUACUGGGCGUAAAGCGCGCGUAGGCGGCUUUGUAAGUUAGGGGUGAAAGCCCGGGGCUCAACCCCGGAAUUGCCUUUAAGACUGCAUCGCUUGAAUCCGGGAGAGGUGAGUGGAAUUCCGAGUGUAGAGGUGAAAUUCGUAGAUAUUCGGAAGAACACCAGUGGCGAAGGCGGCUCACUGGACCGGCAUUGACGCUGAGGUGCGAAAGCGUGGGGAGCAAACAGG